ensembl:lncRNA
CUGAAACGUGACAGCUGGCUACUGUUUAUGACCCCAGAGCUCAGCAACAACCAUCUGCAGAGCGCAAGGAGGAAGUGUACAUGGAGCGGAGCUACUGCACUGCGGAGGAAACUUGAACUGCGCCCGGCUCCCCGUGAAUAUAACUCACACAUAACUCGUUCCCGGCCCACGCAGGGAACCACAUGCAUCGCACAAACACUGUCCAAAAAAAAAGAAAAGUCCCAUUUCCAUGCCAUGGCGUGUUCUCUUCAGCAGCAUCUUUAAAGUCCCCCAUGCAUCAGCCGGUUUGUACAACGACAGCUGUCAGUUCUUGUGUUAACAUAUCAGUAUUUGCAGAAAAUGGAAAUGAUUCCAAUUUUCGAGACUUGAUGUGGCAGAAUUUGAAUUUGUUUCCCUGUAGAGAGAAUAUUUUCCCAUUUGUUUUGCCCCAUGUUUUGUCAUUGCUCCCCCCUGUAUGUAAGAUGAG